rnacentral:rRNA from 1 species
AUUGAACGCUGGCGGCAGGCCUAACACAUGCAAGUCGAGCGGGGUUUUCGGACCUAGCGGCGGACGGGUGAGUAAUGCGUAGGAAGCUGCCCGAUAGAGGGGGAUACCAGUUGGAAACGACUGUUAAUACCGCAUAAUGUCUACGGACCAAAGUGUGGGACCUUCGGGCCACAUGCUAUCGGAUGCGCCUACGUGGGAUUUGCUAGUUGGUGAGGUAAUGGCUCACCAAGGCGACGAUCUCUAGCUGGUUUGAGAGGAUGAUCAGCCACACUGGAACUGAGACACGGUCCAGACUCCUACGGGAGGCAGCAGUGGGGAAUAUUGGACAAUGGGCGCAAGCCUGAUCCAGCCAUGCCGCGUGUGCGAAGAAGGCCUUCGGGUUGUAAAGCACUUUCAGCGAGGAGGAAGGGUGGUGUGUUAAUAGCACAUCAUUUUGACGUUACUCGCAGAAGAAGCACCGGCUAACUCUGUGCCAGCCGCCGCGGUAA